CAGCGCCACGAGUGGCGAUCAUGUUUAUUUGGCCUAAAGCGUCCGUAGCUGGUUAAGUAAAUCUCUUGUGAAAUUGUUUCGCUUAACGAAACAGCGUGCAGGAGACACUGCUUGACUAGGGACCGGGGGGAGUCAGAGGUAUGCCUGGGGGAGCGGUAAAAUGCUAUAAUCCUCGGCAGACCACCUGUGGCGAAGGCGUCUGACUAACACGGGUCCGACAGUGAGGGACGAAAGCCAGGGGAGCAAACCGGAUUAGAUACCCGAGUAGUCC
rnacentral:rRNA from 1 species